rnacentral:rRNA from 1 species
UACGGAGGAUGCAAGCGUUAUCCGGAAUGAUUGGGCGUAAAGCGUCCGCAGGUGGCACAUCAAGUCUGCUGUCAAAGCCCCCAGCUUAACUGGGAAGAGGCGGUGGAAACUGGUGAGCUGGAGAGCAAUAGGGGUAGAGGGAAUUCCCGGUGUAGCGGUGAAAUGCGUAGAGAUCGGGAAGAACACCAGUGGCGAAAGCGCUCUACUAGGUUGCAACUGACACUGAGGGACGAAAGCUAGGGGAGCGAAUGGGAUUAGAUACCCCAGUAGUCCUAGCCGUAAACGAUGGAUACUAGGCGUUUCUCGUAUCGACCCGAGGAGUGCCGGAGCCAACGCGUUAAGUAUCCCGCCUGGGGAGU